CUACGGGGCGCAGCAGUAGGGAAUAUUGCACAAUGGGCGAAAGCCUGAUGCAGCAACGCCGCGUGUGCGAUGAAGGCCUUCGGGUCGUAAAGCACUUUUCGGGAGGACGAGAAAGGACAGUACUCCCGGAAUAAGUCUCGGCUAACUACGUGCCAGCAGCCGCGGUAACACGUAGGAGGCAAGCGUUAUCCGGAUUUACUGGGCGUAAAGCGCAUGCAGGUGGUUUGGUAAGUUGGAUGUGAAAUCUCCCGGCUCAACUGGGUGAGGUCGUUCAAAACUGCUGGACUAGAGGACGGUAGAGGAAAGUGGAAUUCCCGGUGUAGUGGUGAAAUGCGUAGAUAUCGGGAGGAACACCAGUGGCGAAAGCGACUUUCUGGCCCGUUCCUGACACUAAGACGCGAAAGCUAGGGUAGCAAACGGGAUUAGAUACCCUCGUAGUC
rnacentral:rRNA from 1 species